GUAGGUGGCAAGCGUUGUCCGGAUUUACUGGGUGUAAAGGGCGUGUAGGCGGGACGGCAAGUCAGGCGUGAAAACCAUAGGCCCAACCCAUGGCCUGCGUUUGAAGCUGUUGUUCUUGAGUACUGGAGAGGUUGGCGGAAUUCCUAGUGUAGCGGUGAAAUGCGUAGAUAUAGGANGAACACCAGUGGCGAAGGCGGCCAACUGGACAGNAACUGACNCUGANGCNCGAAAGCGUGGGGAGCAAACAGGAUUAAAUACCCUGGUAGUCCACGCUGUAAACGAUCAAUACUAGGUGUGCGGGGACUAACCCCCUGCGUGCCGCAGUUAACACAAUAAGUAUUGCACCUGGGGAGU
rnacentral:rRNA from 1 species